rnacentral:rRNA from 1 species
GAUGAACGCUAGCGGCAGGCUUAACACAUGCAAGUCGAGGGGUAACAGGGACUGCUUGCAAUCCGCUGACGACCGGCGCACGGGUGAGUAACGCGUAUGCAACCUACCUUUUACUGGGGGAUAGUCAAGAGAAAUUUUGAAUAAUACCCCAUACGAUCUGAUUCACUCCUGUGAAACAGAAGAAAAUUCCGAUGGUAAAAGAUGGGCAUGCGUCCUAUUAGUUUGUUGGUGAGGUAACGGCUCACCAAGACUACGAUAGGUAGGGGUCCUGAGAGGGAGAUCCCCCACACUGGUACUGAGACACGGACCAG